AGCAGAGGGAAGCCACCCCCACCGGGGAAGGAACCUCAGCCUCCCCUCGGGCAGUUCCCACCUCCCCCGCGGGGUUCUGUGCAUCCCCUUCCCCAUGGGAACCCCUCCCUAGGCAGCACCGUGGAGAUGGGCCUGGCUGGAUUAAAUCAUCCCAAUCAAAUAAUUUUGGAUUCUAUUUGACUCUGGAAGGGGCAUCAUCCCCUCCUGGCUGGCAGCAUUCCGGCUGCAGGGAUGUUUCCCGCUGGGAUUAUCAGAUAUCCUGAUCAAAUGGCACAGCAGAGGGAUCGUGUGAGACGAGCAGGGAGCUCCGGUCAGGAACGUUCCCCUUGUUCCUGUAGGAACACGAGAGGCACCAGCCAGAGGUUGAAACAACUCCCCCCCAGGAACCAGCCCUGGACACAAAAGCUUUUCAGUUAUCAUCAGCAUUUUGUAAGAUUAUAUUAAAAUAAACCUUCAGGCUCCAUUUCCUGCU